rnacentral:lncRNA from 1 species
GUGUAGUCCGCUACAGUAGUUGGUUCCCAUCAUUUUAUGUUUGGGCACCUGUAGAUUUUUUAAGGUUGUUGGUGAGAUAAAUACUACAAAAGUAUUGGUCAAUGAGAAUUUUAGAAUGUGUUUAGUUAUACUUUUUGACUUUUGAUUUUUAAAAAAAUAUUUUUUUAUUUUUUUUAUUUUUAUUAUUGAAUAAAAAUAAAAAAUAAAAAAUAUGUUUGGUAACUACAUUGUUAUAAAGCAAAAAGCAAUAUUUAGGGAUGGCAGGUGAACAGCUUGACGAGGGAGAAGGAUUCAAGAAGGAAGGGAGAAGGG